rnacentral:lncRNA from 1 species
UUUUUUUUUUUUUUUGGUAUUUUGUAUUUUGUAUCUGUUCUCUACUUUUUUUUAUUAUACUUUAAGUUCUAGGGUACAUAUGCACAACGUGCUGGUUUGUUACAUAUGGAUACAUGUGCUAUGUUGGUGUGCUGCACUCAUUAACUCAUCAUUUACAUUAGGUAUAUCUCCUAAUGCUAUUUUUUAAGCUCAUCAGCUAUUGUUAGCGUUACUGUAUUUAUGUGUGGCCCAAGACAAUUUUUCUUCUUCCAAUGUGGCCCAGGGAAGCCUAAAGAUUGGACACCCUGGCUUAGAGGGGAUGUGAGAUUUUGAGUCAAGUCAUAUUAGAGGUUCCUGUCCCACAUCCCCAUCUGUCUGUUUCACUGUAAGCCACUGCCUGCUGCUCCCACUGCCAUCAUAGGUGCUAUAGUAAUAGGCUCAGCCCUGGCCUGGACCCCACUAAUGGUCAGAGUGGCUGUGUUCCACAAGUUAGAGCCAGAGAAUCACUCAGGGGUCCCUGAGGGCCACUUGCUAUCCUUAUAGAUGACUGGCACAGGGGUCCGGCCUGACUUCUGCUGGUACGAAUAAACAUAUCCACCUCCAAUAGCUCAUCUUCUCAUCCACAGACGUACGAAUCUGUCCACAAGUAACAGGGGCUGAAUUGCUUCAACUGUAAGAUCCAGGUUACUGUAAUCAGAGGACACAUUUGGUAUUGCACUCCAGUAAGUAUGCAGUUGUGACUUCUGAUCAUCUUUAAAGCUAUUUUAGGUCACUCUUUAUGAAAAGAAAUUCUCAUCUUCUCAGAAUGCAAGAUGGAUUACAAACACAGUUGCAUAUUCAAUAGGAAAAACAGGGAGACAGCAGGAGAGACAGGUGGAGAGAAAGCACAGCUGUUUUUAUACUGGCAGAAAGGAUAGGCAUGUUAUAGAGGCUACGUCAAGAGAGUAAAAACUCUCCUAAUCCUGCAUGGCCCAGAUGAAACAGCUGCUAUAAGGCCAAUGAAACCAGAGUCUAGAAAAGCAUUUGGUAAAGAUCCUCUACGCCAUACCUAAGCUUUGACUAAUUACCCAUAGAAAGACCAAGGAAUCUGUUCAAAUUUAAAAUGCUCUGAUAAGAAAUGCAAAUCAAAACCACAAUGAGAUAGCACCUCACACCAGUUAGAAUAGCGAGCCUUAAAAAGUCAGGAAACAACAGGUGCUGGAGAGGAUGUGGAGAAAUAGGAACACUUUUACACUUUUGGUGGGACUCUAAACUAGUUCAACCAUUGUGGAAGACAGUGUGGCAAUUCUUCAAGGAUCUAGAACUAGAUGUACCAUAUGACCCAGCCAUCCGAUUACUGAGUAUAUACCCAAAGGAUUAUAAAUCAUGCUGCUAUAAAGACACAUGCACACGUAUGUUUAUUGUGGCACUAGUCACAAUAGCAAAGACUUGGAACCAACCCAAAUGUCCAUCAAUGAUAGACUGGAUUAAGAAAAUGUGGCACAUAUGCACCAUGGAAUACUAUGCAGCCAUUUAAAAAGGAUGAGUUCACGUCCUUUGUAGGGACAUGCAUGAAGCUGGAAACCAUCAUUCUGAGCAAACUAUUGCGAGAACAGAAAACCAAACACUGCAUGUUCUCACUCAUAGGUGUGAAUUGAACAGUGCGAACACUUGGACACAGGAAGGGGCACAUCACACACCGGAGCCUGUCAUGGGGUCGGGGGAGGGGAGAGGGAGAGCAUUAGGAGAUAUGCCUAAUGUAAAUGACGAGUUAACGGGUGCAGCACACCAACAUAGCACAUGUAUAAACAUGUAACCAAAAUAAAAUGCUCUGAUAAAAGUAACUAAUUGCUCAGUUUCACACUAGCAAAACAUUUGGAAGCUAUGUAGCUAAACUAGGCUGGGGUUUAAAAAAAUUGAAUCGUGGUUAUUAAGAAGUCAAUGUGGAUAGAAAAAGUUUGAACACUCCUAGUUCAAACUGUACCCAUUUUCAGCGGUAAAACGCAGGAUAGGGUUUACCUCCGAUUUGCCUGAGAACCAAUGUGACUGAGCUGCCAAGACAGCUCAGGACCCUGGACAGAGGCCCUUUAUCCCGUCCCUGCUGCGAAUGCCCCUUCCCACCAUCCCACCAGGUAGGUCUGAGUGCACCCCCAGGGCCCUGUGCUGGGCCCUCUGCUCCAUGGUGCUUUCCCUCUGACACUGGGAUUCUACCCACUGUGGGGAGUUCCCCUUUUCCCUGAACUCAUCUACAUCUGCCAAAGAGGUUAGGGACAGUGGA